UUUUGCCUGGAAAUCCCUGCACAGCUAAAGAUUGAAAGAUUUGAAAGACCUUACAGGCCUUUCAAAGAGUGCUGUAUUGGUGUGCUGACACUUCUGGAGAGUGAUUUCUAAAUAAUCACUGGUCCUUCUCAACAUGGAUUUCUUUUUUUUGUUUAUUUUGGGGGGAAACAAAAGUGCUGUAUACAGAAGAACAUCUUAAAUUUGAGGAAACAGAGGCACAGUGCAUGGAAGCAACCAACAACGGAUAGCAGGCAACAUAAACAGCUGAAAGGAGAACAAAAGCUUCCAGAGUCCCAUGUGUGUGAUCUCAACAUUGAGUCAAUCUGGCAACUGCUGAGGAAGAACGUUCCAGAGCCCUGUAAUGAAGUUUCCCGCUUGAAACACGUCACCAUCUUUUUCCAAGAUAUGGGAGAUGUUGAACUGAGUGACUAAUGUAAAGGAUUGAAAGUGACAGGAAACUUAAGAAAGGAUAUGUGAACAACCAAAUAGUGAAAUACUAACAUAAGUCAUAAACUGUAGCAUUUUUUCUUUUAACCUACUAAAAUGACAAAAUCAUAGAAUUAAGAAACCUAAGUAAACCAAUUAUAUACUGUAUUGAAAUUGAGCUGGCUUUGAAUACAAAAAAAAUAAAGUGUAUAGUGGUCUCUAAUGAGAUAAAUGUUACAAAUUUAAAUUAUUUGUGGGAAGAUAUAUCUAUAAUUUCUUAAUAAGUAUUCAAAUAAAUAAAAUACUCCACCACCCCCUCUUCCCUCCUUGCCUUUCCCUUCCCUGUCUCAUCUGUGCAGUUCCCACAAAUAGGUGCAAACUCUCAAUAGCAUCUGGUUGCUGUAAAUGUAGAUGAAAAUCAGAUAAUGAAGUAUCAAUCUCCAGACUUCUGAGCAUUGGUAAGAACAAUAGGGUUGGCCUUCCAAGGAAUGUGAUCCUGAAAUUAUAGAUGUAUAAUAAUAUUGGUAUUUUGCUUGUGUAAGGAUGGAGCCAGGAACAAUUUUUUUUACUGUAUUUCAGAGAAUUUCAUAUUGUUUAUGUACUUCAAGCUUGCAUUUAGUCUGUAUUGCUGAUGUUGAUCUACAAGGAGGCUUACUUUACAGGAUGGAUCCAAGUGAAAUAUAUGAGCUCUGCUGUUGAGUUGUAUGUUGUAUGGAGUUGUAUGCAUGUUAUUGUGUUUUGCAAAAAAACAAACCCUUAUUUGUCAUUGUGAGAGUGCUUUCAAUUCAUAAUUUACUAAUUUUAGUAGACAUCACAUAUUUUGGAAUAAACAUUUGUUU
ensembl:lncRNA